rnacentral:lncRNA from 1 species
GUACUUCAUCCCCACCAAGCUCAUCUUCUUCCACACCCCUCUUCCCACCUCCUCAAACCCAUUACCAACCUCAGCCAAAACAAAAACCCACCACCAAUGUCGCCGCCGCUUCCGUUCCUGCUGCCAGGUCUCAAGUCCAACAACACGACUGUCAUCCGCCGAGUAGGAUGGUGCGAUCUUCACCGUCGGAGUUCUGGCACGGAGCAAGAAGGGCAGCGGGGAGUCCCCGCCGGGGACAAGAUCCAUGAACAACUGCCGCCAACGCGCCAAGUCUCAAGUCCAACAACACGACUGUCGUCCGCCGAGUAGGAUGGUGCGAUCUUCACCGUCGGAGUUCUUGCACGGAGCAAGAAGGGCAGCAGGGAGUCCCUGCCGGGGACAAGAUCCAUGUUUUUGUUCAUGGUGGUGGGUUUUUGUUUUGGCUGAGGUUGGAAGCGGGGUGUGGAAGAGUAUGAGCUUGGUGGGGAGGAAGUACA